rnacentral:lncRNA from 1 species
UUGAAAAACAACUACCCAUUUCCCCUUUACUCGUCAUCUUCCCCUUUCCUUUACCCAUUUCUGAUGGCGGUACCCUCCUUGUGUACCCAGCUGCAAAAAAUUUCUUUUAUCAAUCAUAAUCAAAACCCACCAUCUCCAAUCUAAAAUCCCUGCGGCUGUUACCCACAAAACUCUAGUUCUCCAAUCUGAAGAAGUGCAACAAGAAGAAAAUAAAAAGAAUGGAGGAAGAAGUUGAAAAUGCAGUAAAUGGAUUUUAGUGUUUUGAUUUUGGAAAUCCCCAAUCAUUUGCAAUUCCGCAUCUAACUCGGUUAGAUAUGAAAAAACUGAAAAGUUAUGAUCUGAAGUGGUGGUCAUUUGGGGCUCAUGGAUCUGGGGUUUCGGAUCUCAACGGAUGCUGGGGUUGGGGUUUGGAAGUGGGAUUCGUUCGGAUAUGAGGUUCUUAAAUCAGAUCUUGAAUAUGCCGAUAUCUGGGUUUGGUUUUGAUUCCGGUGGUAUACUUGUUUGUGUUGGUGAAGUCAUAUGUUUCGUCAGUGGAGCAGUCUAACAGGACUUCAAAGUGCUAUCAUUAAGAAAACAGGUACCUCCUGCUCCACCACCUAUUAAUUUUGAAUUUCAUGAUUUGGUGUUUUGAAUUUUGAAUCCCAAACAGAUCUAUUAAUUGUUUGCUUGGAUUUGAAUGUGUUGGCUGGUUUGGGCUCCCCUAUAGAUGAUUUGCUUACUGGUGGAUUUUAUUUCAUCGCCGGAUUUUUUGGGAGUCUAUGCCGAAGUUUGGCCAGAAGCUAUGUUGUCAAGAGGUUUUGCCGGAGUCUUGUCGGUGGAAAUUUCUGGAUUUUUAGGGUGUGUUUGUUUUGGACUGAAUAGGACUGAAUGAACCAAGAACUGAGCGAAUCAGCCAUUAAGGCUGUUUGUUUACAAGUUUUGAAAUCUGAAUAGAGCUUAAUGGAUCUGAGCGAUUCUUUGAAAAAAAGUUGGCUGAAUCGGCUGAACAUAUCUGAAUAAUGUUUUUUACCCAAAUAGCCAUGACUUCUCUCCACCGCCGCUCUCUCUUCUUCAUUUACUAGCAGCAAAGGUUGAAUCUGAGGAAACUGAAGCUAUCAAAAUAGUUUUAGUUGACGCAAAUUCCAAAAAGAUAAGAACAUCUGGACCGUUGUCAUCAAUAAAAAUAGAAAUUGUUGCUCUUGAUGGUGAUUUUAUUUGUGGCGUAAAGGAUUUAACCGUUUGGCAUAUCUGUUUCUUUUUAUGGUGCUUUUGCUACUACUGCUAAUAUGUUGAUAUAUGAAAGGCUAUGAUGAUAAAUGUUUGUAGGAAUUUCUUAAGCAAAUCAGGGCCUGUGGAUCUGGCCCGUAUCUUGGCGGGACAACAAAUCAGAUGGCAUUUCAGAUGCAACUGUUGUUGUUGCAGCCAUGGCGGUGCUACACCCUCUGUCCUGAUCAUGUACAGAUCUAAGCCUCACCUUUCCAAGUAAAAUUUUAUUUUUAAUUAUAAUGACAAAAUGGACUACGACUUUUAAUAGAUUUAACAAAAGUUUUUGCUUUUCAUUCUUUGUAUUUGUUUUUUUAUAAAUAAAUGAGUAAAGUUCAGAUCACCACCUAAGGUUUGGGGUCUUUCCCACUUAACCACCUGUAGUCAGUAAAACUACAUUUAAACUCCCGACUUUUUGAGUUGAAGUGAAAACGUCACCUUUUCCAUCCAACUUAACCGUACGUGUAUGUCAAACGCCAAAAGCGCGUGAAAAGGGGCUAUAACGGUCAAAAAAGACUGAUAAAUGUCUGAAAUACCCCCUUUUUCUUCCUCUUGUCUGAAUCAUUUUGUUCUACCCCAUUUCAGCUCCAUCGCAGAAGUGAAGUAGCAGACGAAAUUGAAGGCUACUAGCAGACCAAAUUCACAACUAAGGUAUGCACAUCAACUUAUUUCUUCCCUAUUUCAAUCCAAAAGUGAUUUCAAUCUAAGGUAUGCACAUAAACUACAAGUAGAGGAAGUGAUUUCAAUCAAAGGUAUGCAAAUCAUAGUGGUGAGCCUUCCUGGAAGGGCAAAAGACGACAACCAAACCAGAAAUUCAUUUUCAUCCAAAAUCCAAAAAAGGCCCCUUCCUCACCCCUUCUCAAGCUGCUCAACUAUUGUUGGCUUCGUAUUUCUUGUCCUCGACCCAUUUCGCCAAAUUAAUCAAACGGCCCUCUAAAUCAGCCUCUGAUUUUCCUACAUAGCAUGCUGGAACAAAAAGAAAAACGACAUGGAAACAAAGAAUCAAACUCAGAAACUAAGAAUCAAACCCAUCCUAAUUCAUCUUCUUUCAAACCAUCAUCAUCUUCUUCACAAUCAGUUAUGGGUUAACUAAUUACUAACCCACCAUCCAUCUUCUUCCUUAAAUGCACCAGAUCUGAAGUAUUUGUUUUUCAAAAAAUAUUUGAAAAAUCAAACCCAACAAAUUAGUGUAGAUAAGAGAGAAAAGGAGAAAUGCAAAUAAGAGAGAGAAGAAGUGUAGAUACAAACCAAACAAACUAUUCGAGAAAAAACCCCAGCAAACUAGAGUAGAUAACUAGAUACAUGUAGAGAGAGACAAGAUCUUAUAGCUCUUGAAUUUCUGGUGGUGGGUGAACUUACCCAGCUUUUUAGUUCAAAAAUGUAAAAGAAAGAAGAAUUGGAUAGUAACAUGUCGCAGCAGCACAGUGUAAGAUUACACAGAUGGAGGCGGUGGAAACACACUAAUACUGAUGGUAUUGUUGUUGAUGAUAAUAAAUAAGAAGAUAUAAUAAAGAAAAAAAAUGUAUGAUAAAAAUUGAGUUGGAAACUUUGUUAUAUUUUAAAUUAUUAUUAAGAUUGCCAUGUAACUAAUGUUUUAUUCUUUUAAAAAGAAAAAGAAAGUGUUAUCGAUAUACGAAAUGAAGCAGCGUGCUUAAGAUCAACCACUUGGAGAAAGCAGUCGUCAUCUAUGGAGGGUAAUUAAGUCUUUAGCCAAAUCAAGUAACGGAGUUAAGACGGAAAGCAUUUAUUCACUUCAACUCAAAAAGUCGAGAGUUUAAAUGUCACUUUACUGACUACAGAUGGUUAAGUGGGAAAGACCCCAAACCCCAGGUGGUGAUCUGAACUUUACUCUAAAUAAAUAUUGCAUUUAAUUUUUUUAAUAUGUUCAAAAAAAAUUUAUAUUUGUUCAAGGGGUAAAAUAGUAAAAAAAUGUUAUUCAGAUGUUUUAGACAUAUCAAUUAUCAAACAACUUUUUUCAUUAAGAUUCAGAUUCAGAUCAUUCAGAUUCAACUCAUUCAAAUUCAGAUUCAGAUUCAGAUUCAUUCAGUUUUUAUCAAACAGCCCCUUGGUUUUAUAAUUCAUUGUUUGUUUGAAGAAAUGAGUAGUUAAUUUGUUUAGUUUUAAU